GCCAGGGGUGGUGGCGCACUCCUGUAAUCCCAGCGGCUCAGGAGGCUGAGGCAGGAGGAUGGCAGGUUUGAAGCCAGCCUCAGUAACUUAGUGAGGCCUUCAGCAACUCAGCAAGACCCUGUCUCUA
rnacentral:sRNA from 1 species